rnacentral:lncRNA from 1 species
GCCAUCAUUGUACUCACGCAGGAUCUUGGGAGUGGUCUUAUGGUCUUUGUCUGAGAACAAAUGAUAUAAGGUCUCUAUCAAUACUAGUGGCUCUACAUUGUCAUCAUUGCAUCAUUGUACCACUAACAUUCUCAGAGUUAGAAAGCACAGUUGGAGUUAACAUGAGGGGAACUUUGGUGUUCCUUUUAGCAGUGUUUGGAUGCUGUUGUACAGUUAAAUGUGGAAUUGUGUCCAAAUGUGAACUGUGGAGCCUGAUGUCGAAGGAGGCCGAGCAAGCUGGGAUGACUGAGAACUUUGUAGCUAAGAUUGUUUGUCAUGCAGAGCUAGUAUCGGAUUUUAACACCAAUGCGGUGAAGGAACUGGUUUGUGAGACGAACCCUCAAGAACAAACGGAUCCACAGCAGCCUUCUCCCCAGCCCCACCUUCAACACAGCUGUGAGGACAGCGAGGAGAUGGGGACACUCUAUGGCCUUUUCCAGCUCAGCAGUAAACUCACCUGCAGUGAUGGAACUAAUCCAUCACCAAACAUCUGUAACAUUGACUGCGAAGAUUUGCUCGAUAACAACAUAGAUGAUGACUUUCAAUGUCUGCUGACAUUCUUCAGACAUCUUGUUAAAAAUGCCUUUGGAACAGCCGACUCAAAAGGAUUACAAAAAAUGUGAGUAUUCUGCUUAUAUACCUGUUUUAAAAUGUAUAUUUUUAAAUAUUAUAAUCAGAGCUAAAUAGGGAAUAAGGGAGAUUAUUAUCAUUAGGAUGAGCAAUGUGGGGAAGGUGGUUUAAAAUUAGAACUUCUUUGUAUGUUACAGCAAAUAUAUCUGUCAAAUUGUUAAAUUAUAUCCUACUUCAACAAAAUGUGUUUCUACAUUUGGUAUGAAGAGCUGAGAAGAGGCUGAAGAAAACAUUUUUAAAAUGUGAAACUUUUCACAUAUUAUAAAAGAACUGAAAAGAAAAUACCAACGAAUGCACAAUGAAUCACCAUCACAUUACCAUGUAGAAUUAUUGAAGUCACAUGUAAAACCCUUGUUGUUGUCUUCAUUAAUGAGUGACUGCUGUUUCUUUGCAGGUUUCAAUUCAUCAUGCAGGAAGAGUGCAGGAACGUGGAGUACUCUGAGUACUUCGCUGAAUGUUUGAGAAAUGAUUAAUUUUCUCCAUUACAUUUUAUUAAAACUUUUAUUUUACAUUUCCAGCCACAUCAAUAGCUAGAUAAAUAAAUUACCUAUUGAUGUAAAAAGCA